UGGGGAAUAUUGGACAAUGGGCGCAAGCCUGAUCCAGCCAUGCCGCGUGAGUGAUGAAGGCCCUAGGGUUGUAAAGCUCUUUCACCGGUGAAGAUAAUGACGGUAACCGGAGAAGAAGCCCCGGCUAACUUCGUGCCAGCAGCCGCGGUAAUACGAAGGGGGCUAGCGUUGUUAGGAUUUACUGGGCGUAAAGCGCACGUAGGCGGACUAUUAAGUCAGGGGUGAAAUCCCGGGGCUCAACCCCGGAACUGCCUUUGAUACUGGUAGUAUUGAGUUCGAGAGAGGUGAGUGGAAUUCCGAGUGUAGAGGUGAAAUUCGUAGAUAUUAGAAGGAACACCAGUGGCGAAGGCGGCUCACAGGCUCGAUACUGACGCUGGGGUGCGAAAGCGUGGGGAGCAAACAGG
rnacentral:rRNA from 1 species